UACGAAGGGGGCUAGCGUUGCUCGGAAUCACUGGGCGUAAAGGGUGCGUAGGCGGGCCUUUAAGGCAGGGGUGAAAUCCUGGAGCUCAACUCCAGAACUGCCUUUGAUACUGAAGAUCUUGAGUCCGGGAGAGGUGAGUGGAACUGCGAGUGUAGAGGUGAAAUUCGUAGAUAUUCGCAAGAACACCAGUGGCGAAGGCGGCUCACUGGCCCGGUACUGACGCUGAGGCACGAAAGCGUGGGGAGCAAACAGG
rnacentral:rRNA from 1 species